rnacentral:rRNA from 1 species
AACGAACGCUGGCGGCAGGCUUAACACAUGCAAGUCGAGCGCCCCGCAAGGGGAGCGGCAGACGGGUGAGUAACGCGUGGGAAUCUACCCAUCUCUACGGAAUAACGCAUGGAAACGUGUGCUAAUACCGUAUACGUCCAUCGGGAGACAGAUUUAUCGGAGAUGGAUGAGCCCGCGUUGGAUUAGCUAGUUGGUGGGGAAAAGGCCUACCAAGGCGACGAUCCAUAGCUGGUCUGAGAGGAUGAUCAGCCACACUGGGACUGAGACACGGCCCAGACUCCUACUGGAGGCAGCAGUGGGGAAUAUUGGACAAUGGGCGCAAGCCUGAUCCAGCCAUGCCGCGUGAGUGAUGAAGGCCCUAGGGUUGUAAAGCUCUUUCACCGGUGAAGAUAAUGACGGUAACCGGAGAAGAAGCCCCGGCUAACUUCGUGCCAGCCGCCGCCGUAAUAC